UUAAGAGUCAUACGGUUGUUUCAAAGGAUAAGCCCAGCAAGGGUAAGUGUAAAUAAAUUACUUUGGAACUGCGAAUGGCUCAUUAUAUCAGUUAUAGUUUAUUUGGUGAAGGGUACUACUUGGAUAACCGUAGUAAUUCUAGGGCUAAUACAUGAGAAAGUCCUCUGGUGGGGUGUGUUUAUUAGAAUGAAAACCAUAUGCUUCGGCAUGAUAGUGAGUAAUAGUAACCUAUCGUAUCGCAUGCUUAAAGUAGCGAUGAGUCUUUCAAGUUUCUGCCCUAUCAGCUUUCGAUGGGAGGGUAUGGGUCUACCCUGGGGGUAACGGGUAAACAAAAA
rnacentral:rRNA from 1 species